rnacentral:rRNA from 1 species
GACGAACGCUGGCGGCGUGCUUAACACAUGCCAGUCGAACGGAAAGGCCCUGCUUUUGUGGGGUGCUCGAGUGGCGAACGGGUGAGUAACACGUGAGUAACCUGCCCUUGACUUUGGGAUAACUUCAGGAAACUGGGGCUAAUACCGGAUAGGAGCUCCUGCUGCAUGGUGGGGGUUGGAAAGUUUCGGCGGUUGGGGAUGGACUCGCGGCUUAUCAGCUUGUUGGUGGGGUAGUGGCUUACCAAGGCUUUGACGGGUAGCCGGCCUGAGAGGGUGACCGGGCACCAUGGGACUGAGAUACGGACCAGACUCCAACGGGCGGCAACAGGGGGGAAUAUUGCACAAUGGGGGGAAGCCUGAUGCAGCAACGCCGCGUGCGGGAUGACGGCCUUCGGGUUGUAAACCGCUUUCGCCUGUGACGAAGCGUGAGUGACGGUAAUGGGUAAAGAAGCACCGGCUAACUACGUG